AGGCUUUAUAUAACAGUCUAUUAAAUUGAUACUCGUGUUAUAUUAUCGGACAAUAGUAAUUUCGAAACCUAGAUAACGCGUCGUGACUGUGUCUAUAGUAAUGCGGUAAAUAUAUAUAAAAUCACUAGUUUCUCUGUUUAAUAAUAUGUUGGAACAAUAGAAUCGAUAUCGACGACUUCCGAUGCCGUUUAGUACGAAUUUGUCCAGAUUAACAGAAGCUUAAAUUGAAGUCAUUCAGUUCUGCAGUUUUUAGA